AGAGCCAUCGGAUUUGUGAAAUAGAUGGAAGCAUGCCCCAUGCUAAGAAGGGUUGCUGAGAAGAGGAGCAACAUCAGAGACCUGAAUAAGAACAUCUGUCAACUCUCACCUCCUAUUAAACACUGGGAGGAUUAAACAGCUUGCUUACAACAAGCCCAGGCUCAACAUGACUUCUGCAAACAUGGGAGCCCAGUCCUUAAUGGAAUUUGAAAACAUGCUUCUACAAGAAAAUGAAUAGAUUUCUAGCUAGUAAGUUCUGAUUAUUUGUUAUUAUUUAGGAUGUACACAGCAGAGAGUGCAUUAAAUAUGCAAAAAUCCUA